AUGUUAUGUUUAAAAUGUUUUCAAACAAUACAGGGUGAUGUAACAUUGUUUGAUUUUGUUUUUCACCAGAAUGCAUGUAAAUCGAAACGUUUUUCUCCCUGCAGUUAAGUUACUUAGAAAUUUUGUAGACUGGAGAAAAUGUUAAUGCUGUUUUACAGAUACUAGUGAAAAUUACUUUACUGAAGCUUUAGAAGGAAAAUACCCAUGUCUGCAGUUACACUUGGAAAGAAGGAAAUGUCAGAUAGAAGUCAAGAAAAAAGAUUUUUCAACAUUUGAUGAUGUAGUAGAAAAUACUGAAAUAGCACAGGGUGUGUUACUUGGGGUUGUCUGCAACUUCAAGCUGGUUCCUUGAUAAAUUGUGGUUUAAUGGACUGUUAUCAUGAUGCAUCCAUAUUGCCACAGAUAGCUAGAAACUAGUGAAUUUAUAACUGAUAUAACUAAUUAUGAAAAUUUUCCUUUUCAAGAAAACAUGAAGGAAGAGCUAUUGUAAAGAGUAUGGUUGGAAUUCAUAUAAAUAUUCUGAAAAAUGUUAGACCAUCUGCUGUUAGUGAUAAUCAAUUAACUGAUAUAUUCUGGUCCAGUAGUAGAUUAAGAUAAAAAUUAGUACUUUUUCACAUUUUUGUUUUUAUAACUUACCAGAAUAUAUAGAUUUUUGAAGGAAUAAUACACAUAAUAUCUGUUAAAAGGUAUACUGUCUUUGAUUCAUGCUCUCCAUUGUUAUUUCUACAACAGUGAGAAGACUUUAACACUUGUUAGAUAAUACAAAAGUACUGUGAGGAAAGUUAUUUAAUUCUUAAGUUAGAUGAGUCCAGAGUCAAUAAGUUUAAGAGAGUGAGAAACAGAAAGGAGGAGAAUUGGUACUAUAAUUACAGAAAUGUAAAAUAAAGGUCUUUUGAAUACCUCAGGUUAUAUGUCAAUAGUGGAAUGGUUAAUGCUGUAAACUGCAGAAAUCCUCAAGAGUUUGAAAUAUUUUGCUAAAAUAUAUAUAUGUUAAUGUCAAAGGGCUGUUGAAAAAUUUUGACAGACUGGUGUUGCUCUUACUAUGAUAAUAAAGUGUGAGUAAAUUGUUUGUUAGAGUUAUCGAAUAAAUAUAUGCGUAUCUGUCACUGCAGUUAGGAGAAGACACAUUACUGGAGAUAGAGUAGAAUAAUGAAAAAAUUGUUGAAUUUAAUCGAUUACUCCUGUAGGAUCUUUUUAUACAUCAUAUGAUUGUUCUGUGAAGAUUUGUAACACUUAGGACUUUCCUAAUUUUCAAACAAUGGUUUUGUGUCUAAUACCUGUUUUUCUAGAAAUUUCCUGUGAUGCUUGUAUGGUUAGUGAUUUUUGUGUGCAAGAUUUCUCUUUCUUGCUUUAAAAAAGUAAAAAACAAAUGAUUCUGUUUCCUAUCUGGUAUUGUACUGUUCUUUCACUUUGAUGUAAGGAUCAGUUUUUUCUACCCAGAGCUAACUCAACAUUUAUGAAAUGUACAAAACUUUGACACAUUUUCACCCAUUCUCAUGUCCAGUUGUAUCUAACACUUUGGUAAUGAUCAUACUAUCACUCUAGCACAUUUCUUAUUGGUGAAAGAGUAUCUCAUUAAUUUUGUAAUAUUUUAAGUGUGAAGUGCAUCUUUAAAAUGAAAAGGCUGAAAAAAUUAGUAUAGCAGCAGAUCUUAAAAGUAGCUGGAUUCUGAAUAUUCAGAAAUAAGUACAUAUUUGAAUCCCAUUUUAAGUUCUGUAAAGUUCUGUUUAAGGAUAGUAACUUUAUUACAUUAAGAUUCUUUAUGUAGGACAUAUGUUUUCAAAAGCUUUAAGAUUUGAUAAUAAUUUUGUACUAUGAUUAAUUGAUGAGUACUUCUAUUUUCAUCUUGGCAAAAACUGUUCUUGUGAAGAAUAAACCACUGAACAUAUGAGAAGAAUGUGGCAUUACUCCUAUUUUAUCUGGAAGUGACCAUGAAUGUAAUAAUGAAGAUGAAAAUUACCUUGAUCUUGAUAAUGUGUAUGAAGAGGAAACAAUUGACUUGUGGAAAGCCAGUAACUAAAAGCUGAAAUCUCCCUAAAAAAAAGAAACUUAUCCAACUAACAGAGAAAGCAUAUACCUAUGACCUGUGUGAUAGAAGUUUAAAAUCACAUAAUUUCAUCUACACAGGAAAAAGACCAUACUGUUGUAAUAUUUGUGGAAAGAAAUUCAGGGUGUCCAGCCACUUAAAAGACCAUCGGGUGAUUCACACGGGAAUGAGACUUUAUAGUUGUUACAUAAGUGGAAGAACAUGUACACAAGCUGGAAACCAGAUACCAUUUGAUCCAUAAGAAACAUAAUUUGUAUGUUAAAAUGUAUUUUUUAAGCAUUUGUUAUAGCUUUGUAUUUAUAUGAUUAUUUGAAUGGAAAAACAUGUUGUUAAGACUGUUGAAGAGUUUACAAUAAGUGAUCCAGAAAACAGUUAUCAGUUAUUAGCUAUAAAAGAGCUAACUAAUCUUUGAGAAAUAAGAUACAAAUAGUUGUAAAGAGAAAGGAUCUUAAUGAUUAUUUGUCAGAAAAUUUUUGAUUUAAAUUCUGUUUAAGUGUGUUGUUUUAUUGUUGAAACUUUCAAAGUAUUUGAGCUAACAGCAAAAUGAAUAACACUAGGCAAUGACAACAACAACACAUUUUCUCUGCUACUAGAAAAAAAUGCAACUGUUUCUAAAUAAUUUGACGAUGCUGAUUCUAAAAAUCAUGUUGAAAAUUACUAUCACCUUUAGUUUUCUAGUUAUGAUAGACUUAUUCAAAUUAUUCUUAUAUAUUGUGAAAAUUGCAUGAGUGUAAAACAAGUGUAAUAAGAUUAUAUAGUGAAAAUACAUUCAGGCUAUUUUCAAAAGUUUCAUUGUGGUAAUUUUUUUGUUACAAAAUAUCUGCUUGACCUGUUGUGCCUUUUUUGUAUAUUCUCAAUUUCUUUCUGUAAGAACCAUCAGUAAUCUCCCAUUAUUGCAGGGUUCCAUCAUCCUUGAUAUUGCUGUUCUAUUGUAACAAUAUCUUGGUGGAAGCGCUCACCAUGCUGAUCACUCUCUGCACCUGAAAAAAACAGUUAACUUUUAAAUGUUACAUAUCUGCAUUAAUUUAUUUAUUAAGAAUCUAUCAAUCAUAGUUUAAAUAUUAUUUCUCCAAGUAUUUUUUUAUCAGAACU